rnacentral:rRNA from 1 species
AGCAGCCGCGGUAAUUCCAGCUCCAAUAGCGUAUAUUAAAGUUGUUGCAGUUAAAAAGCUCGUAGUUGAAUUUCGGGAUCAUCAGGUUGGUCGUGCCUUUGGUAUGUACUUUCCUCGAUGGUUCCUCCUUCUUGAAGAUCCGUAAUGCCAUUAAUUUGGUGUUGCGGGGAAUCAGGACUGUUACUUUGAAAAAAUUAGAGUGUUUAAAACAGGCAAUCGCUUGAAUACAUUAGCAUGGAAUAAUGAAAUAGGACGUUCGAUCCUAUUUUGUUGGUUUCUAGGAUUGACGUAAUGAUUAAUAGGGAUAGUUGGGGGCAUUAGUAUUCAAUUGUCAGAGGUGAAAUUCUUGGAUUUAUUGAAGACUAACUACUGCGAAAGCAUUUGCCAAGGAUGUUUUCAUUAAUCAAGAACGAAAGUUAGGGGAUCGAAGACGAUCAGAUACCGUCGUAGUCUUAACCAUAAACUAUGCCGACUAGGGAUCGGAUGAUGUUAAUUUUUUAAUGACUCAUUCGGCGCCUUA